AUGUAAAUCCGUUUUGUUUUAUAUGUACCUUGGCUGUCGUGAUGAAGGUCCUUGGAAGUUGUGUGUCCUCUGGAAAGACUCUUGAUUGUGAUGAUUGGGUCUAAAUGUGGCGUUGUGUAGUGUUUCUUUUACUCAUCUGUGUUGUUAUGGAUGAGUCUUAUUCACCCCUGAUAAGACUCACCCACAAUUUUGAUGAUGUGGUCUAAAAAUGGUGUGUGUUUUUCCUCUCUCCUUGCUGCCUGUUGCCAUGGAUGAGUCUUAUUCACCCCUGAUAAGACUCACCCACAGUUUUGAGGGCGUGAGUCUUCCCUUACGGACGAUACAACUUUCAUAACUUUUUCUUCCUUUUCGGCGGGUACGACUUUAUCAACAGCCUUCCCUUCUUUUUAAUCUUGACAGUCUUUUCAAAUCUUUGUUUUCGCUGAACUCAGAGUUUUUUGUUCCUAAAACUUGAUUCCUUUGUCGAUAAAACUAAACCAUCGCAAAAACUCAUAUUUUCCUUCCUUUGUGUCCUAAAACUUGAUUCCUUUGUCGAUUAAACUUGAUUCCUUUGUCGAUAAAACUAAACCAUCGCAACAACUCAUAUUUUCCUUUCUUCGUGUCCUUAAACUUGAUUCCUUUGUCGAUAAAACUAAACCAACGCAAAAACUCAUAUUUUCCUUUCUUCGUGUCCUUAAACUUGAUUCCUUUGUCGAUAAAACUUGAUUCCUUUGUCGAUAAAACUAAACCAUCGCAACAACUCAUUUUCUUUUCUUUAUAUUCAUCCCACCCCGACAGUUAAUGUCAGGGUCAGCAUCCCACCCCGUCAGUUAAGACAGGGUCAGCAUCCCACCCCGAGAGUAAGUCAGGGUCAGCAUCCCACCCCGUCAGUUCAGACAGGGUCAGCAUCCUACCCCGUCAGUUAAGACAGGGUCAGCAUCCCACCCCGAGAGUAAGUCAGGGUCAGCAUCCCACCCCGUCAGCUUGCCUUGAAAUUCCGUGUCGUGUUUUGAUCGUGUCUUGUACCGAGUCGGGCUGUUUGGUUGAAGGUUCUUGCAGUGUGUUUUGUCGCCGGGUAAUACUCCCUCUUGAUGUUGAUGUGUUAGGAUCUGCAGAUUAUUGUGUACUUUUUUCACCCUUUUCUCUGAGUUCCAUCUCGUUAUGGUUGAGUCAUAUUCACCCCUGAUAAGACUCGCCCAUAAUUUCGUUGUCGUUCAGGUCCAAAGGUGAUGUGUAUUUGUUGCUUGUUUAUCCUAUCUCUGUGUCCCGUCUUGUUAUGGUUGAAUCCUACUCACCCCAAAUAAGACUCGCCCAUAAUUUUGACGGUGUCAGUCUUUCUUCUUAUUGGGAGGGUACAACUUUAUCAGCAUCCUUCUCUUCUUUUUAAUCUCCGGACAUUUCUUUUCAAGGCACGGUCUGCGUCUUAACUAAACAGUCAAGCUAGUGUUUAUAUCCCACCCCGACAGUAUGUCAGGGUCAGCAUCCCACCCCGUCAUUUAAGACAGGGUCAGCAUCCCACCCCGUCAUUUAAGACAGGGUCAGCAUCACACUCCGUCAGCUUGCCUUGAAAUUCCGUGUCGUGUUUUGAUCGUGUCUUGUACCGAGUCGGGCUGUUUGGUUGAAGGUUGUUGCACUGUGUUUUGUCCCCGGGUAAUACUCC